rnacentral:lncRNA from 1 species
GAAUGCAAGAAGAGAGUGAUUCUUUGGGGAGCAUAUAAUUUGGUGAGGUGAAAUCUGAUUGUGCUGAUGCUUUGGGGAAGAACAUAUCAGUAUCAAUGGUGAGCAGAAGAGGAGCAGGGAUGAUGAAAGACCACACAUUCUCCAAAAGUCACUAAGCACUGUCCACAGAUCGAACAUUCAUAUUUUCAGAUAGUGUAAGU